ACGGCGGUAGCUCAACUGGUAGAGCACUGGUCUCCAAAACCAGCGGUUGAGAGUUCGAGUCUCUCCCGCCGUGCCG
rnacentral:tRNA from 1 species